rfam:Aedes aegypti strain Liverpool supercont1.2 genomic scaffold, whole genome shotgun sequence.
UGCCCAGCAACUCCUAUCCCUACCUCCUCGUGGUACUGGCCGGGGUACGAGUAACCUUGGAGAAGAUCGGGUAACCAACCCCCGGUGGGAACUUUGGUCGUAUGCUGACAGGGAGGG